UUUUUUUUUAAAUCUAGGGAAAGCUGUAGGUUUUCGCACCAAUCGGGAAUCAUGAUAGUGAAAAGCAGAACUCUAGCAUUGUGGAAAGUUUGAAAAUUUCCACAUAAUCAACAGUAGCCCAUUUCUGAUGGGCUAAAUGGCCUGUUCCCUAUUUUUCAGAUUGUAAAAUAAAAAUAACUGAAUAAAAUCUUCUCUGGCCGGGCCCUGGGGUUUCUAUAGGCAACAUUUCAAGACACACCCAUCCCCAGUUCACUUUUAAUGUUAUGCCCUGGCACUCAUGUUUGUUCAAUACAGAGAUUAUCUGCAUGUGAACUUUUACCUGUAAAGUUUUCUGUCAGUUUAAUAUUAAACUCAAAAUGUGAUCA